AUGCACGCUGGCGGCGUGCCUAAUACCUGCCAGUCGCGCGAACAGACGAGGAGCUUGCUCCUCUGACGUUAGCGGCGGACGGGUGAGUAACACGUGGAUAACCUACCUAUAAGACUGGGAUAACUUCGGGAAACCGGAGCUAAUACCGGAUAAUAUAUUGAACCGCAUGGUUCAAUAGUGAAAGACGGUUUUGCUGUCACUUAUAGAUGGAUCCGCGCCGCAUUAGCUAGUUGGUAAGGUAACGGCUUACCAAGGCAACGAUGCGUAGCCGACCUGAGAGGGUGAUCGGCCACACUGGAACUGAGACACGGUCCAGACUCCUACGUGAGGCAGCAGUAGGGAAUCUUCCGCAAUGGGCGAAAGCCUGACGGAGCAACGCCGCGUGAGUGAUGAAGGUCUUCGGAUCGUAAAACUCUGUUAUUAGGGAAGAACAAAUGUGUAAGUAACUAUGCACGUCUUGACGGUACCUAAUCAGAAAGCCACGGCUAACUACGUG
rnacentral:rRNA from 1 species